UACGUAGGGUGCAAGCGUUGUCCGGAAUUAUUGGGCGUAAAGAGCUCGUAGGCGGUUUGUCGCGUCUGCUGUGAAACUGGAGGCUCAACCUCCAGCUUGCAGUGGGUACGGGCAGACUAGAGUGCGGUAGGGGAGAUUGGAAUUCCUGGUGUAGCGGUGGAAUGCGCAGAUAUCAGGAGGAACACCGAUGGCGAAGGCAGAUCUCUGGGCCGUAACUGACGCUGAGGAGCGAAAGCGUGGGAGCGAACAGG
rnacentral:rRNA from 1 species